rnacentral:rRNA from 1 species
UACGGAGGGUGCAAGCGUUAUCCGGAUUCACUGGGUUUAAAGGGUGCGUAGGUGGGUUGGUAAGUCCGUGGUGAAAUCUCCGAGCUUAACUCGGAAACUGCCGUGGAUACUAUCAAUCUUGAAUACUGUGGAGGUAAGCGGAAUAUGUCAUGUAGCGGUGAAAUGCUUAGAUAUGACAUAGAACACCAAUUGCGAAGGCAGCUCACUACGGAUAUAUUGACACUGAGGCACGAAAGCGUGGGGAUCAAACAGG